GGUUGGCUUGUGCACUGGGAGUUGGGCCUACUGGCAGCACAGGUCAGUGUCUUCCCUUCGUCAACGUUGGCGAUAUUAACGUAACAAACAAAAUCUUCAUAAAGUGCCCUAGCCCUGCACUUGGCUCCUUGAACAAUUAAUUUAACAAGCUGCGGAGCUAACUGCUUUGGCAAAGUAUUUUUGGCACUUUUAACGAAAGUCUAGUCCUGUGUCUCUUCUGACAUAUACAUUGCUCAAGAUAAAUGGUCGCACCUGACUGAAAUGCUCAUGAAGACAUCUCUGAGGAAUGAAGAAGUGCCUCUGCUGGAAAAGUCCUCAAGAAUAUAUUCAUAAUAAUCAGAUGCCUAGAUGUACUUCAUAGAACUUGCAAGACACUUCGACAUAAAUCUCCUUGAAGAGUGACAAAUUCUCAGGGAAAAAAUGAACAAAAUA